rnacentral:rRNA from 1 species
AUACCGCGUGUGUGAAGAAGGCCUUCGGGUUGUAAAGCACUUUAAGCAGGGAGAAAAAGUUAUAGGUUAAUACCCUAUGACCUUGAUGUUACCUGCAGAAUAAGCACCGGCUAAUUCCGUGCCAGCAGCCGCGGUAAUACGGAAGGUGCAAGCGUUAAUCGGAAUUACUGGGCGUAAAGCGCGCGUAGGUGGUUUGUUAAGUUGGAUGUGAAAGCCCUGGGCUCAACCUAGGAACUGCAUCCAAAACUAACUCACUAGAGUACGAUAGAGGGAGGUAGAAUUCAUAGUGUAGCGGUGGAAUGCGUAGAUAUUAUGAAGAAUACCAGUGGCGAAGGCGGCCUCCUGGAUCUGUACUGACACUGAGGUGCGAAAGCGUGGGUAGCGAACAGGAUUAGAUACCCUGGUAGUCCACGCCGUAAACGGUGACAACUAGCUGUUGGGAGACUAUGUCUUUCAGUGGCGCAGCUAACGCUUUAAGUUGUCCGCCUGGGGAGUACGGCCGCAAGGCUAAAACUCAAAUGAAUUGACGGGGACCCGCACAAGCGGUGGAGCAUGUGGUUUAAUUCGAUGCAACGCGAAAAACCUUACCUACUCUUGACAUACUUGGAGGCUCUUGUAAUGAGAGUGUGCCUUUUGGAACCAAGAUACAGGUGCUGCAUGGCUGUCGUCAGCUCGUGUCGUGAGAUGUUCCGUUAAGUCGGAUAACGAGCGCAACCCUUACCCUUAUUUGCCAGCGAUUCGGUCGGGAGCUAUAAGGGGACUGCCGGUGAUAAACCGGAGGAAGGUGAGGACGACGUCAAGUCAUCAUGGCCCUUACGAGUAGGGCUACACACGUGCUACAAUGGAGAAUACAGACGGACGCUAAGCCGCGAGGUGGUGCUAAUCCUAGAAAGUUCUUCGUAGUCCGGAUUGGAGUCUGCAACUCGACUCCAUGAAGUCGGAAUCGCUAGUAAUCG